AACGAACGCUGGCGGCAGGCUUAACACAUGCAAGUCGAGCGCGUAGCAAUACGAGCGGCAGACGGGUGAGUAACGCGUGGGAAUCUACCGUACCCUAUGGAAUAGCUCCGGGAAACUGGAAGUAAUACCAUAUACGCCCGAAAGGGGAAAGAUUUAUCGGGGUAUGAUGAGCCCGCGUUGGAUUAGCUAGUUGGUGGGGUAAAGGCCUACCAAGGCGACGAUCCAUAGCUGGUCUGAGAGGAUGAUCAGCCACAUUGGGACUGAGACACGGCCCAAACUCCUACGGGAGGCAGCAGUGGGGAAUAUUGGACAAUGGGCGCAAGCCUGAUCCAGCCAUGCCGCGUGAGUGAUGAAGGUCUUAGGAUUGUAAAGCUCUUUCACCGAUGAAGAUAAUGACGGUAGUCGGAGAAGAAGCCCCGGCAAACUUCGUGCCAGCCGCCGCCGUAA
rnacentral:rRNA from 1 species